UUAAGCAUAUCAAUAAGCGGAGGAAAAGAAAAUAACUAUGAUUCCCUUAGUAACGGCGAGUGAACAGGGAGAAGCCCAAAUUUGUAAUCUGGCACUUUUUACAGGUGUCCGAGUUGUAAUUUGUAGAACUGCUAUCCGUACUGGACCAUGUACAAGUCUGUUGAAAAGCAGCAUCAUUGAAGGUGAAAAUCCUGUAGAUGAUAUGGACUACCAGUAUAUUUGUGAUGCGGUUUCUAAGAGUCGAGUUGUUUGGGAAUGCAGCUCAAAGUGGGUGGUAAAUUCCAUCUAAGGCUAAAUAUGAGUGAGAGACCGAUAGCAUACAAGUACCGUGAGGGAAAGAUGAAAAGAACUUUGAAAAUAGAGUUAACAGUACGUGAAAUUGCUGAAAGGGAAACGUUUGAAGUUAGUUUUGUAUUCGUUGGAUCAGCUUCGCAAGGAGUGUAUUCCGAUGAUAGGCAAGUCAACAUCAAUCUAUGAGUGUUGGAUAAGGGUUUUGAGAACGUAGCAAUUCAGUUGUGUUAUAGCUCGAGACUUGGAUACGAUGCUUUGGAUUGAGGAACGCGUAGUAAGCUUUGAGCGGAUUCGAAAGGAUCUCCUUACUAUGGAUGUUGGUGAAAUAACUUUAAGCGACCCGUCUUGAAA
rnacentral:rRNA from 1 species